CCUAAUGCACAGAUAGCUGACAUCAACUUCCGUCAGGCAGCUCCUGGAGAUCGAACCUUUCGAUUGUAACUGGGACAAUUUGCAUAGUGAUUCCCUUUCAGAGCUUUCCCGGGUCCAUAACUAGCCCAGGCAGCUAUUCAAAUGCAAGUUGCAUCCCCCAAAUGCAAGGCUGGCCUGACCAAAAAGAGCCACACGGCGCCGGGAGAGGCGAGACUCGCGCCACGGUUCUCAUCCUUCUCUUUUCUCCUUCCUUCUCCCUUUCUCUUCUCCGGUUCCUGAUUUAGCUGGGAGCUAUUUAUUUAUGACUACAAAUGUGUGUGCGCGAGCCAGAGAGAGAGGGAGGGAACUGAUCUUUGCUUGGACUUAAAGAUGGAGACGAAGGAGCCGGAGGGAAUUGGGGUCUGUGUGUCUGGCUCAGACCCUAGGCGCUGAGGGGGGCCGCUGGGCAUCAAGCCCAAGGUCUUUCUUCCCGGCGCCCCGUAUUCCGCGACCUGGCAGGAAUCCGUGGGCCAAAGAGCGCCCCGGCUGAUCCGCCUGCCCCGGGCCGGGCUACAAGGAAAGUCUUGGAGCAGGGGGCCGUCCCGUCCCUGUCUUUAAAAUGAGCGCAAUAAAAGGGGCAAAUCCUCGAACGCGAACCUGAUCGCAUGUCACAGAAGCAACUUGCCAUGAAAUCCGCUAAUGCGCCGCGACUCGCCCACCAGGGAAGAGAAGAAAUGGAGCCCUUGCAGUUAAAUUAUUACUGGCUUCUACAGGGUUAAUUUGAUGCAAAUAAUCUACUCUCCUGUCAACAUUGAAGGAAAAGGUAGUGGCCUGUGGAACAACAGGAAGAGCCAGUCAGGUAGUGACAAAACUCUGCCUCUGGGUUCUGAAGAAGGUAUCGGAAGGCUCUGAACUUAGCUUUGGGUUUGUUGCACCGCAUUCCCUCUCUUAAAACAGUAACUCAAGAUGUAAGUAAAAGUGUUUUCAUUUUUUAUUGAUCCCACUAACAUCUUUCAUUAUCCAGCAUGUAGCCACAGCAAAUUAUUGCUCAUUUGAUACCAAGAAUUCUAUUGACCAUCGCUUUCGUUGGAGAGAGAAUUCUAACUACUAGCUGCUCUGUAGUCAGUCAGAGCUGAGGCUGAGAACACUACACAGCUAAAACAAGUAAAUUGAGCCCUCUGCCUCCAGGAAUUGAUGGAGAUGUGUUCAUUACAUUGGGCCACGUGAACAUGCAUAGAAAUCUGCUUUUUGCUCUGCCAGUCGGCAUUGCCCCCAUGCAAUCAAAAGGUCGGCCCCUUUGGAACAGAACUGUCUAAUUGGAGGGCUGGACAUUCGUUUGCCUCUCCUGUAUCCCUUCUGGCAACUUCUUUUCAGCUCUGGCCAGGUUGGGUAAUGAAAUGAUGCAUUAGAAGAUACCAAAUGUGGACACAAUUAUUAAAACCGCGCCUCCUUUAAAGAAAAAAAAACAACUCCUAAAAUGUCUAGAUGAGUGACUUUAUGUAGUCACUCAUAAUUUCCUAAAUAAAAUUGCUCCAUUCCCACCCCCUCAAAACUCCAUGUCAUUAGAUACAGGCUAAAUUGUCGGGGGACUGGGGAGCUCUAAGAUCUGUGUCUGUUCUCCCUGGUCGGCAAUGGGCAUCCAGCCUCAAUUACAGGGGAGACUGCUCCAGCGCUUGCUUCAGCCAGUGGUGCAGAGAAGUCUGUGUGCCUAGAGAAGGCCUGACCUUCGACCCUCCAGGCUGGAGAGGGAGGUUCUUGGGUGAAGAUGCUGGAGAAAGGAUCUGAUAGAGCAAUGGGAGAGGCCAGGUUUGUUCCCUUAGAAGCUAAUGGCAGAACCUGUCUUCAUGCUGAAAGGAGCUAGUGCUGCCCCACAGCAAGAACCACCGGACACCUGGACCUUAGGGCGUCUUCUCCAUCCCCAAGGUGGCCUAGACAGACUUUUCUGUAGGGAUCAACACGUCCUCCAUUCAGGCGUCUGAGGGAAAGGCAAAGGACUCUGGGGGUGCAUUGGCCUGAACAAGACAGGUGCAAAAACAGAAAUUCAAGCCUGUUUGGAUGGGGAAGAGAGGAAUGCUGUCAGAUUUCCAAGGAACCAAGGAUCCACAUCUAUUUCUCCUUAAGCCCUUGAUCCCAAUAGGAGAGCAAGAUAACCUUGGAGAAACCAUGCCCGUGGAGAUUCCUCGGAGGAGAUGGUUGGGUGUCAUUUCCACAACUACCAGGAGAUAAGCCUUCUCGGUUGGGUUCCAGAACAAAAAGGAGGACCAGUUACUAAUUUCACAAAUGAAUCCUGGCAUGUGUAUCCCAAACAGCGUCAAUUCUCAAUUGGAAGGUGCAUUCAGGGGAUCUAAGGAACCCAGCUUUGUAUUAUUUUCCUAAUGAUGCUGUUACAUGUGUGUGAAACCACUGGCACUCUCGUGGGCCACGCUCCAUAACCUUUCAUGGUCAGGGAGUCACUUUGUUCCAGUGUGGGCAGUGAACUAGUGGGAGUGUGUGCUUCACAUGCAGGAUGCUCACCCAAAAGUAGUAGACUGAAUUGGUUUGAGGAUGAUGGGAAACAUAAGAUGAAAUAUACACUGCGGUUUUUUGUCUUUGCUUUUUUAGUUUUUCUAUUUUGUUUUUAAUGAAGAUAAAUAACCUUGGGCUCAGGUGUAAUCAGUCCUCCCAAACACAGUGAUAUUCCUAGAAUGUGCACAUCACCCAUAACACUUGAAGAUUCCAGCCCAAAGGUUUUGGAAACCCCUUUUCUGGAUUCCAGCCCGGAUUCUGAAAACCUCUCAAGCCUCCGAGGGGAAGAGAACUCACCCCACCAAGCAGCUGAAACUACACACUCACAGCACACACAGGGGUCUAAGGCUGGAUUCGAUCAGGAAGGCCAGCUGAGCUAACCAGAGAGUGUAUGACUCUACUGGAAACCAAAAACCAAUAAGUCAGCAACACUCUAAAGUCAUUUUGGGGAACAAGACCUGGAACUUGAGUUUGAGUUGAAAAGUUAGGGACAAGGGACAGAUCACCCAGCAUUCCUCUGGAACAAGGCAAACUGAGAACUAACCAGCUGCACUGGCAUUGCAGCAAAUUAGAGAUUAGGAAAUUUAUUUCCCUUCUACAUACAGUAAGACACAAAUCCUUCAAUCUGGAGCUCACCUCUGUGCAGGGAGCAUCGGGCUCCCUACAUUGCACUUUCCAAGUGGCCCACUAGCCUUCUCCAGGUUUUGCCAGGCAAAUGAAGCAAGAAGUACUCGAUAGUAAAUUAUUUUGUUCAGGCUUCUGUCUUUUUAUGAAAAUAAAAGCCAACACUUUGUCAUUUUUAAUCACAUAAGCAGACAAUAAAUCUAAUUUUGAUAUUGA